UACGUAGGGUGCGAGCGUUUGUCCGGAAUUAUUGGGCGUAAAGAGCUCGUAGGCGGUCUGUCGCGUCGGUCGUGAAAACUUGGGGCUUAACCCUGAGCUUGCGGUCGAUACGGGCAUGACUGGAGUUCGGCAGGGGAGACUGGAAUUCCUGGUGUAGCGGUGAAAUGCGCAGAUAUCAGGAGGAACACCGGUGGCGAAGGCGGGUCUCUGGGCCGAUACCGACGUGAGGAGCGAAAGCGUGGGGAGCGAACAGG
rnacentral:rRNA from 1 species